UACGGAGGAUGCAAGCGUUAUCCGGAAUCAUUGGGCGUAAAGCGUCCGUAGGUGGCUGUUCAAGUCUGCGGUCAAAGCACAAGGCUUAACCUUGUAAAGGCCGUGGAAACUGAAGAGGCUAGAGUGCGGUAGGGGUAGAGGGAAUUCCCAGUGUAGCGGUGAAAUGCGUAGAGAUGUGGAGGAACACCAAUGGCGAAGGCAGCCUUCUGGGCCAACACUGACGCUCAUGCACGAAAGCGUGGGGAGCAAACAGG
rnacentral:rRNA from 1 species